UGCCGCUUACUCGGGGAUAGCCUUUCGAAAGAAAGAUUAAUACCCGAUGGUAUAAAGAGUUCGCAUGUUCUCUUUAUUAAAGAUUUCGGUAAGCGAUGGGGAUGCGUUCCAUUAGAUAGUUGGCGGGUAACGGCCCACCAAGUCUACGAUGGAUAGGGGUUCUGAGAGGAAGGUCCCCCACAUUGGAACUGAGACACGGUCCAAACUCCUACGGGAGGCAGCAGUGAGGAAUAUUGGUCAAUGGACGAGAGUCUGAACCAGCCUAAAAGUAGCGCGAAGGAUGACUGCCCUAUGGGUUGUAAACUUCUUUUAUAAGGGAAUAAAGUGAGGGACGUGUCCCUUUUUGUAUGUACCUUAUGAAUAAGGAUCGGCUAACUCCGUGCCAGCCGCCGC
rnacentral:rRNA from 1 species